CAGGAAUGUGGUUUUUUGAAAAAGAGUCCAUGCCGUGGGAAGGAGAUUUCUGGAGGAGUGAUGAACAUCAGAGAGCUCCUGCGGCUAACGGCACCACUGCUCAACAACGAAACGAUGAAAAAACUGAAGAGGAGACGCCAAUGACAAACGGCUAAACAUCAAGUAAGGACAGGUCAGACGAUCUGAAAGAUCCAAACAGAAACUGAAAAUGUUUAAGAAUGUCAAGAAGUGCAGACGUACAAUGGACGUUCACCGGGGGGAGGCUCCAAACCACACAACAAUAAAACGAGUUUUACUUGUUUUAAUUUGUCUAGAGACUUGAAAUGAAUGAAUCAUGUAAUAUUUUGAAGUCAUUUCCAUCAGAAGAAGAACACAUUUGUGUUCACGACUCCGCUUUGUUCUUCGUGUACCCUGCAUUGUUACUGUGAACACAUUUAAAGCGGACAGGAAGUGCUACAUGUGUAAAGGCUGAUUUACAGCAUCGAGUCCUACUCUUAAAAAAUGCUAUGAAGCUGGAUUCAAUAAUAUGUGUCUAAAGUUAAGGUUUUUAGUGCCAUCUUGUGCCAGUAUGGAAAGUGAUGUUAUGUGGUUGGUUGGUUGGUGCUAAUAGACUUACACUAGUUUAUGUUGCUAACUAGUGACAACUGCAGUCAGUUUUAUGUUAAAGUACCAAGGAUACAUCGUCCCCUUUCACUCUCUGUCUCUUCAGCACUAAGUGGUCGUUCAUUAUUGGCUAGCUGCACUGAAAUAUGGGAAUCCACCUGUUAGCCGUAUUGUUAGGGUUUGUAGAGCACUUUAUAAAUGAGCAGAGCUUGUUGGAGUCAGGUGGACAAGGACGAGAAGCUUAAGUCUGACACUGUCCCCUUUGUCUUUGAUUUUUCCUCCUUUGGUUGGAUGUAGACACACGGCACACAAUCAGCUGGCAGAGCAGAUGUUCAGAGGAUGUGAUCAGCAUUAUUUUAUGCAGUAAAACAGUCUUGCUUUCCUCAAACACACCCAACCAGUUUACAGCAUAAGUUACUACAUGCCCAUCUCAAACACAACGGGUUUCUUAUCGAAGCACAGAUCAGGAAUCCUGAGAUCCUGCAGGGGGAACAGAGUGAUGUGUAGAACAGGAACGUCAGAGGGAAAGUUGCUGCACUCUUUGGAGUGAGAUGAUGCUGUCAGUGCAUUACUUCAAUCAAAACCCUAAUAUAAGUGAAGGAGAGCGUAACGUGGAGAUUUCUUCCUCUGUGGACAUGCUGAUGGAUGUUAGGAUUUCCAAAUGUGCAUUGGUAAGAAAAAUAGUUAUAUUUGUAACUAUUCUUGUAAAACAGUUCUGUCACUCGUUAGUUCACAUAUACUAAAGCCGUUUUCCAGUUACCUCAGAAGUUGGAUGUUGGAAUUAAGGAAUGAAGUCAGUACAGCAAUAUUGCAUUCCAGUAGGAAAUUUGGGAAAACCGGAGAAAUAGGGUUCAUUUUGAUUCUUAGCAGGAUGCAACCAUUGCACCCUGUUCAGUGCUGUGAGUAUGAUUAUAAGAUUCAUCUGUGAAAUCACAGCAGUGGCAGUUUUACAUUUUUACUGCUGUUUACAUUCACUUCCGCCAUCUUGGAUUGUUAAGUCCCAGUUGGUGGGGCUGAUCUGACUUUUCAGGUGGGAAAUCUGAGUUCAGGAUGACAGUUUAGAGCAGAGCUCCACAGUGUAAACCAGCCUUUAUAAAUGUAGUGUUUCAUGUUCGCUUUAAUCUGAUGUUUAAU